GAACCAAAUGAGUCCAAUUUACUAAAAAGAAAAAUAUUUUUUUCAGAUCCCAACUCCAUUGUUAUAUUCUUGGAGAGCAGAAUAUUAAAAGCUCUACAGAACUGAGAGUAAAUUUUUGCUUUCAUACGGACCAGCACAUUUCACGGCAAUGAAGUAAAGCAAUCUGAAGGACAAGUACAGGUACAAAACAGAAACAAGUAAACGAGGCAGCAUAUUUCAUGCCAGACCAUGCUUUGUCCCCCACCCUGUUCAGCAUUUCCCUCUGCAGUAACCGAGAGACUUUGAUGGUGCUCAUUACCUGUUUUGAGGCUGGGACUGAACU